rnacentral:rRNA from 1 species
GCAUAGGAAUCUGCCUAGAAGUGAAGAAUAGCCUGGGGAAACCCAGGAUAAUACUGCAUAUGUCCUACGGGGCAAAGCAUGGGACCUUCGGGCCAUGCGCUUUUAGAUGAGCCUGUGUUAGAUUAGCUAGUUGGUGGGGUAAAGGCCUACCAAGGCGACGAUCUAUAGCUGUUCUGAGAGGAAGAUCAGCCACACUGGGACUGAGACACGGCCCAGACUCCUACGGGAGGCAGCAGUCGGGAAUAUUGGACAAUGGGGGCAACCCUGAUCCAGCAAUGCCGCGUGUGUGAAGAAGGCCUC